rnacentral:misc_RNA from 1 species
AAGAAAUUUUCAUUCCAAUUCCUUAGUUGGUUCCAUUCGCCGCAGCUGGAGAUCAAGUUAUGGGAGGUUUUCUACUGAUGGCGUGGUGCUAUGCCUGAUCUUCACUAACGUAGCUGUGUUCUUGUUAUGGCGUGUUGCUGAUAGUAGAUUCAUGAUGAGGAACUUCAUGAUUUCAGUGGACAAUUUUACAAGUGGACGGGUUCAUACAUUGAUAACAUCAGCUUUCAGUCAUAUAAGUACUUGGCAUCUUGUCUCUAAUAUGAUUGGACUCUACUUCUUUGGAACAAGUAUAGGUAGAUAUUUUGGGCCUGAGUUUCUUCUGAAGCUGUAUCUAUCUGGAGCAGUUGCGGG